AACGAACGCUGGCGGCAUGCCUAACACAUGCAAGUCGAACGAGAACGUCUGGUCCUGGUGCGCACGGGUGGGUCAGGGGAGGGAACAUUAACUUGGGGUCGGUAUACCUCUCCGAGGGGGGUGAUAAUAGGAGACGAAUGCUAAGAACGCAAGAUUUAUCUACAUUGGAUGGGCAAGUGUGAGAUUUGCUAGUGGGUAAGGUAAAAGCCUACCAAGGCUGCGUUCCAUAGCUGGUGUGAGAGGAUGAUCAGCCACCCUGGGACUGGGACACGGCCCAGACUCUUACGGGAGGCAGCAGUGGGGAAUAUUGGACAAUGGGCGAAAGCCUGAUCCAGCAAUGCCGCGUGAGUGAUGAAGGCCUUAGGGUUGUAAAGCUCUUUUACCCGGGAUGAUAAUGACGGUACCGGGAGAAUAAGCGCCGGCUAACUCCGUG
rnacentral:rRNA from 1 species